AUUAAACGCUGGCGGCAUGCCUUACACAUGCAAGUCGAACGGCAGCACGGGGGCAACCCUGGUGGCGAGUGGCGAACGGGUGAGUAAAGCAUCGGAACGUGCCCUGGAGUGGGGGAUAACGUAGCGAAAGUUACGCUAAUACCGCAUAUUCUGUGAGCAGGAAAGCAGGGGAUCGCAAGGCCUUGCGCUCUGGGAGCGGCCGAUGUCGGAUUAGCUAGUUGGUGGGGUAAAGGCCUACCAAGGCGACGAUCCGUAGCGGGUCUGAGAGGAUGAUCCGCCACACUGGGACUGAGACACGGCCCAGACUCCUACGGGAGGCAGCAGUGGGGAAUUUUGGACAAUGGGCGAAAGCCUGAUCCAGCCAUGCCGCGUGAGUGAAGAAGGCCUCGG
rnacentral:rRNA from 1 species